GACGAAGGGGGCUAGCGUUGUUCGGAAUCACUGGGCGUAAAGGGCGCGUAGGCGGCUUUGUAAGUCGGGGGUGAAAGCCUGUGGCUCAACCACAGAAUUGCCUUCGAUACUGCAUGGCUUGAGACCGGAAGAGGUAAGUGGAACUGCGAGUGUAGAGGUGAAAUUCGUAGAUAUUCGCAAGAACACCAGUGGCGAAGGCGGCUUACUGGUCCGGAUCUGACGCUGAGGCGCGAAAGCGUGGGGAGCAAACAGG
rnacentral:rRNA from 1 species